rnacentral:rRNA from 1 species
UACAGAGGUCCCAAGCGUUGUUCGGAUUCCCUGGGCGUAAAGGGUGCGUAGGUGGCCAGGUAAGUUUGAUGUGAAAGCUCGGAGCUUAACUCCGAAAUGGCAUUGAAUACUAUCUGGCUUGAGGGUCGGAGGGGAGACUGGAAUUCUCGGUGUAGCAGUGAAAUGCGUAGAUAUCGAGAGGAACACCAGUGGCGAAGGCGAGUCUCUGGACGACACCUGACACUGAGGCACGAAAGCUAGGGGAGCAAACAGG